rnacentral:ncRNA from 2 species
CGCUCAUCCAGAGAGGCUGAGGGACCGACCCGAUGAAGCCUCGGCAACCUGCCAGGGAUCGCCUUCAAUCCAGGUGACCGAACGCUGAGAUAGGUGCCAAUUUCGGCAGACGCAAGUCUGAGAGAUGAGAG